AUUGAACGCUGGCGGCAGGCCUAACACAUGCAAGUCGAGCGGAUGAAGGGAGCUUGCUCCUGGAUUCAGCGGCGGACGGGUGAGUAAUGCCUAUGAAUCUGCCUGGUCGUGGGGGAUAACGUCCGGAAACGGGCGCUAAUCCCGCAUACGUCCUGAUGGAGCAAUUGGGUGAUCUUCGGACCUCACGCUUUCAUAUUAGCCUAGGUCGGAUUAGCUAGUUGGUGGGGUAAAUGCCUACCAAGGCGACGAUCCGUAACUGGUCUGAGAGGAUGAUCAGUCACACGGGAACUGAGAAAGAGUAGAGACUCCGACGGGAGGAAGCAGUGGAGAAUAUUAGGCGAUGGGCGAAAGGCUGAUCCAGGAAUGCCGCGUGUGUGAAGAAGGUCUUCGGAUGGGAAAGCACUGAAAGUUGGGGGGAAGGGAAGUAAGUUAAUACCGUGCUAUAUUGACGUUACCAGCAGAAUAAGCACCGGCUAACUUCGUG
rnacentral:rRNA from 1 species